rnacentral:rRNA from 1 species
UAGAGUUUGAUCAUGGCUCAGGAUGAACGCUAGCGGCAGGCCUAAUACAUGCAAGUCGAGGGGUAAGAGUCAGCUUGCUGACUACACGACCGGCGCACGGGUGCGUAACGCGUAUGCAACCUACCUUUAACAGAGGAAUAGCCCCGAGAAAUCGGGAUUAAUACCACAUAACAUUAUGAUAUGGCAUCAUAUUAUAAUUAAAACUCCGGUGGUUAAAGAUGGGCAUGCGUGACAUUAGCUAGUUGGUGAGGUAACUGCUCACCAAGGCUACGAUGUCUAGGGGUUCUGAGAGGAUGAUCCCCCACACUGGUACUGAGACACGGACCAGACUCCUACGGGAGGCAGCAGUAAGGAAUAUUGCGCAAUGGAGGCAACUCUGACGCAGCCAUGCCGCGUGCAGGAUUGAAGGCCUUAUGGGUCGUAAACUGCUUUUAUUUAGGAAUAAAC